GUGACUUUGUUUAACCUUUGUGCAAUAUUUCCUCCCUUAGCUGUUUGUUUUUACUGAUGGAGAGGUGGGGAACACCAAAGAUGUUAUAGAUCUUGUUAAGAAGAAUGCAGGCUCUCACAGGUGUUUCUCUUUUGGGAUUGGAGAAGGAGCCAGCUCUGCUCUCAUCAAUGGGCUGGCCAAGGAGGGAGGAGGUCAUCCUCAGUUCAUCUCUGGAACUGACAGAAUGCAGGCAAAA